CCCAAGUUCCAAGAAGGACCCUGAAGGGGUGCUCACCUAACACUCUUCCCCACCUGAGCCUUCUGUCCGCUGAUGAUUUUCUGGGCUUGCCUGGAUCUUCCUACAGAUGUUGGCUCCUACAUGAACCUGUACAACGUAGUGGACUUUCCUGCUGGUGUCGUGCCGGUCACCACUGUGACGCCACAGGACGAGGAGGAACUGGCUUUCUACAAGGGAUACUAUGGAGAUAGUUCUGACAAACAAUUCCGGGAGGCCAUACAAAGAUCCGUGGGACUUCCUGUGGCUGUGCAGUGUGUUGCUCUGCCGUGGGAAGAUGAGCUGUGUCUCCGGUUCAUGAAAGAGGUGGAGACCUUGACCAAGAACCACAGGGGACCCAAGUGACCAACCACUCCUCCUGGAGGCCUUCAUCCUUGUCCAGGUACUCAAGAAAUGGACUCCUCACAUUCAUUGGCCCAAGUUGGGGCACAGGGUGAAGGGCUCAAUAAACAUUUCUGACUGGUA